rnacentral:rRNA from 1 species
AACGAACGCUGGCGGCAGGCUUAACACAUGCAAGUCGAGCGCCCCGCAAGGGGAGCGGCAGACGGGUGAGUAACGCGUGGGAAUCUACCCAUCUCUACGGAAUAACGCAUGGAAACGUGUGCUAAUACCGUAUACGUCCUUCGGGAGAAAGAUUUAUCGGAGAUGGAUGAGCCCGCGUUGGAUUAGCUAGUUGGUGGGGUAAAGGCCUACAAGGCGACGAUCCAUAGCUGGUCUGAGAGGAUGAUCAGCCACACUGGGACUGAGACACGGCCCAGACUCCUACGGGAGGCAGCAGUGGGGAAUAUUGGACAAUGGGCGCAAGCCUGAUCCAGCCAUGCCGCGUGAGUGAUGAAGGCCCUAGGGUUGUAAAGCUCUUUCACCGGUGAAGAUAAUGACGGUAACCGGAGAAGAGGCCCCGGCUAACUUCGUGCCAGCAGCCGCAGUAAUAC